AUGCCACCUCGGGCUAUCAGCAUAAAGGUGGCGAGGGAAGAUGAUUUGUCCUCACACAUUGGAAACGAUGGCUUCUAUUUUGAUCUCGUCGACUUCGACAGGGUGAGGGCUUUCCAGAUCCCGGAUAACACGACUAUGUCCCGAUUGAAGGUGCUCAAUGAUUCUUCCCCACAAAAUCUGAGCAACAAUGAUGGAUUAGUGUUUUUAAAGCUUUAUGACCCAGAACAAACGCAGAUACGAUAUAUUGGAAUGCUGUUUGUAAAAGCUUCAUCAAGGCCUUCAGAUAUUCUUCCGAAACUAAGAAGUCUAGCUGGUUUUUGUGCAGACGAGGAAAUGGAAUUAUAUGAGGAAAUCAAAUCCGAACCUUCUGCCAUGUGUGAAGCCUUAGAUGCCAAUAUUACAUUUUCAGAAAGCCAGAUUGGGCAUGGGGAUAUCAUUUGCUACCAGAAGAGCUCGAAGUCUUUGAGCCACCAUGCAUACCCGUCUGUUGAAAUAUUCUUCAAGCGUAUUCAGGAUUUGAAGGCAGUUGUUCUGGGGGAGCAAAGGAAGAUAUUAGCUCUGGAAGAGGAGGUUGCUAGGUUAAAACAUCAGUCUGACCUUCAAACAGAGAAGGCAAACAUGGAAUGCCAGCGAUUUAAACGUGAGCGAGACAAUGCGGUGCGACAGCUGAAUGAGCUGCAGGAUCAGAAUCCUCAGAUUUUCCUCGAGUUCCCCAUCACAAAUUUGCUGCAAGCAACGGAGAACUUCAGUGACCUGUGCAAGGUUGGAGACACCGAAUAUGGGUGUGUAUAUAAAGGCAUUAUACACGAUACUACAGUAGCUAUCAAGCUAUCCAGAUCUGAUAUUUUAUUUCAACAAGAGGUUUCUAUUCUUCGUCAAGGCAGACAUCCAAGCAUUGUCAACUGCAUUGGAAAAUGUUCUGAAGUUUCAGCUCUUGUGUACGAGUGGUUGCCAAACGGAAACCUCCAAGAUCACAUUGUUUGUGCUAAUGGCUCUCCACCUCUCUCAUGGCAGAUCCGCACACAGAUCAUCGGUGAGAUUUGUUCUGCGCUGCUUUUCCUGCAUUCGCGUGAGCCUCAUGCUUUGGUCCAUGGUGAUCUACGUCCUUGUAACAUAUUCGUUGACGCCAACUUCAGAAGCAAGAUUUGCAACUUUGGUAUGUUAACCCUGUUUCUCCAGCCCGGCAACCACCAACCAGCUCUGACAGCCAGGUUGCCAUACCUGGACCCGGAGUUCCUCACCACCGGAGAGCUCACACCCCUUUCUGAUGUCUACUCUCUGGGUGUUAUCAUCCUGGGUCUCUUGACUGGACUGCCUCCCUUGACUAUUGCAAAGAAAGUUUCAGAAGCACUGGAGAAUAAUAACUUGCACACGCUGAUUGAUAAAUCAGCAGGGAACUGGCCUUAUGUACAAGCCAAGCAGUUAGUCGUCAUUGGUCUUAGCUGUGUGGAAAUGAUGAGGGAAAAGCGACCUGAUCUCUUAACAAAGGUAUGGUCAGUUGUUGAGCCCCUUAUCAGGAAGCCUCCUGCAGCCCCAUGGCCAUACGUCCAAUCGGCAGUUACAGGAAGUUACGCGCCUGACCACUUGAUUUGUCCAAUUCGCAUGGAUAUUAUGAAGGAUCCUCAAGUGGCAUCUGAUGGAUUCACUUAUGAAGCAGAAGCCAUAAUGCGCUGGUUUGAUGGCGGGAACAACAGGUCUCCGAUGACGAACUUGCCGCUAGCAAAUCAUGAUCUCGUCCCGAAUCGAGCCCUCCUCUCUUCCAUCCAGGAGUACCUUGGUCAGCAGAGACAGCCAGGUUCCUGA
rnacentral:rRNA from 1 species